UCUUCCGUAGUAUAGUGGUUAGUAUAUGAGCUUGUCAUUCCACCUUCGGGUGCUGGCUUCGCUCGGGACCCGGGUUCAAUUCCCGGCGGGAGAG